rnacentral:rRNA from 1 species
UACGUAGGGGGCAAGCGUUGUCCGGAAUCAUUGGGCGUAAAGCGCGCGUAGGCGGCCCGGUAAGUCCGUUGUAAAAGUCGAAGGCUCAACCUUCGAAAGCCGAUGGAUACUGCCGGGCUAGAGUCCGGAAGAGGCGAGUGGAAUUCCUGGUGUAGCGGUGAAAUGCGCAGAUAUCAGGAGGAACACCUGCGGCGAAGGCGGGUAGCUGGGCCGACACUGACGCUGAGGCGCGAAAGCCAGGGAGGCGAACGGG